ACGGGAGGCAGCAGUAGGGAAUCUUCCACAAUGGGCGAAAGCCUGAUGGAGCAACGCCGCGUGAGUGAAGAAGGUCUUCGGAUCGUAAAGCUCUGUUGUUAGAGAAGAACACUGAUGAGAGUAACUGUUCAUCAGUUGACGGUAUCUAACCAGCAAGUCACGGCUAACUACGUGCCAGCAGCCGCGGUAAUACGUAGGUGGCAAGCGUUAUCCGGAUUUAUUGGGCGUAAAGGGAACGCAGGCGGUUUUUUAAGUCUGAUGUGAAAGCCUUCGGCUUAACCGGAGAAUAGCAUUGGAAACUGGAAGACUUGAGUGCAGAAGAGGAGAGUGGAAUUCCAUGUGUAGCGGUGAAAUGCGUAGAUAUAUGGAGGAACACCAGUGGCGAAAGCGGCUCUCUGGUCUGUAACUGACGCUGAGGUUCGAAAGCGUGGGUAGCAAACAGGAUUAGAUACCCUGGUA
rnacentral:rRNA from 1 species